rnacentral:rRNA from 1 species
AGCGAACGCUGGCGGCAUGCCUAACACAUGCAAGUCUGACGGGCCUGGGGCUUGCUCCGGGUCAGUGGCGGACGGGUGAGGAACGCGUAGGAACGUAUCCAAGGGUGGGGNGUAACCGGCGGAAACGUGCGGCUAAUACCGCAUGGGGCCGGCGGGGAGGACCGUGGGGCCGAAAGGCUGGGCAACCAAGUCGCCGAUGGAGCGGCCUGCGUCCGAUUAGCUAGUUGGUGGGGUGACGGCUUACCAAGGCUACGAUCGGUAGCUGGUCUGAGAGGAUGAUCAGCCACACUGGGACUGAGACACGGCCCAGACUCCUACGGGAGGC